rnacentral:rRNA from 1 species
UACGUAGGUGGCAAGCGUUGUCCGGAUUUACUGGGCGUAAAGAGCGCGCAGGCGGUCGUUCAAGUCGCGUGUGAAAGCCCCCGGCUCAACUGGGGAGGGUCACGCGAUACUGAUCGACUCGAAGGCAGGAGAGGGUAGUGGAAUUCCCGGUGUAGUGGUGAAAUGCGUAGAGAUCAGGAAGAACACCGGUGGCGAAAGCGCUCUGCUAGGCCGCAACUGACACUGAGGGACGAAAGCUAGGGGAGCGAAUGGG